GCGUCGAUGGUGCAACGGCUCAGCACGCGCUCCCGCAAAGAGUGAAGUAUGGGUUUGAGUCCCAGCAGACGCA